rnacentral:lncRNA from 1 species
CUUGAAAACAAGAGUAAACUGACCUAAAACUCUAAUUCAGAAAAUAAUCAGCAUCACUGUCUGUCCCUUAUAAAUAAUACAUCUAAAGAGAAAAGAGAAAAAUAUGCAUUUUUUUACUGACUCUGAUGAUACAUUACAUUAUGACAAAUUGGUGCAUUGAUUUUAGUGCCACAUCACCCUUGAUGAAUGACAAAUCAUUUUUCAUUGAUCUCCAUAAAAUUGAAAAUAAAGUCUUUUUAGCUAACAACACCUGCAUACAAGUUAGAGGGAUGGGUAAAGGUAUAUUACAAUGCAUUACACCAAUGAAUACUGUAUCAUAUAUUACUGUAACAGAUGUAUUAUAUGUCCC